rnacentral:rRNA from 1 species
CCACACAGUAAGCACUCCGCCUGGGGAGUACGCACGCAAGUGUGAAACUCAAAGGAAUUGACGGGGACCCGCACAAGUAGCGGAGCAUGUGGUUUAAUUCGACGCAACGCGAAGAACCUUACCAGGGCUUGACAUGACAGUGACGGGUUAAGAGAUUAACCGUUCCCUUCGGGGACACUGCCACAGGUGGUGCAUGGUUGU